rnacentral:rRNA from 1 species
UACAGAGGGGGCAAGCGUUAUUCGGAAUUAUUGGGCGUAAAGGGCGCGUAGGCGGCUUGGCAAGUGGAAGGUGAAAUCCCUCGGCUUAACCGAGGAACUGCCUUCCAGACUGCUUUGCUUGAGGCCGGGAGAGGUGAGUGGAAUUCCCAGUGUAGCGGUGAAAUGCGUAGAUAUUGGGAGGAACACCAAUUGCGAAGGCAGCUCGCUGGGACGUAACUGACGCUGAGACGCGAAAGCGUGGGGAGCAAACAGG